GGCAAACGUACAGAUUUCUGUUGCUUUGCAGGCACUGGAACACAUAGCAGUCUCAUAACAAUGCUGUAAUUCAGUUUUUGAAAAGGCCUUGAGUGUCUGCUGACAUGUUUUGGGCUCUUUUCUGUAAGUAAGAAGUCUUUUGGUUGCUGUAGCAGUGAGUGUGAAUAAAUGAAAAGGUAAUGACUUCUUAUAUCCUCUUAUAUUACAUGUGGAGGCUUAGAAACUAUCCUCAGUAUUACUUAAAACUAUGUAACAGUAUGUGUUUAUCAUUUGGUGUUUACAAGAUCUCAAUAAGGAAGCAAGUUUUCCCUGUAUUUUAGCAUUUUGGGGGAGAAAGAAAGAGAGAAGGGAAAAUAGGACCUUCAGUAUAAAGGACUCAUGAAGGCAAAAUUCAGAGCUUAGUGUCUGGAUUCAUAUUCCAGGCCAACCUGAAAAUCAGUUGAGGGAGUCAUCCCUGCGUUUGAUUUUAUGACAUCAUUUGCUGUUCACAGGUUCCCAAGUUGUUUUCUGUUUGUUUGAAAUGAUAGAAGAGUAGUUCAAAGUGUUCUAAUAUAUUCCAAGAAAAGUGCCUUCAUUAUUUUGAAAAAAAAUUGCUAGUACAGUCUGUGGCUGAUUUCAUCAUAAUUUCUAUUUUCCUUCUUCUGAUUGGACAUCCAGAUCAUUCCUCUUUUAUGUAUUCUCCUGCCACACGUCCUACCAGCUUACAUUAGAAAGUCUCCCUUCUGGUAGUUGCCAGACUCAAGACCUGUUCGCACAGAAGUUUGGGAACACGUGCAGUGCUGGUUGUGCAGGUGAUCAAGUGAGAACAUGACAAAUGCCCUGUGACUUGUGUAACCUGGAUCACCAGCUCUCACUGAAGGACAAUGGUGGCUGCAACUCUGCACAUGCUGAGAGUGGCUGCAGGCAGUAUCCAGGGGAUGGGUCCAGAGCUGUCAUCCACUUGGCUUAGAAUUAUGAGCCUGGAAACAUAAAUCUUGAUGUCUUUGAAGAUCAGUGCAGGAUUUUCUUACCUGUGCAUCAUGAUAUCUCAGGUAUAAAUAUUCAAAAAUUUGGGAUGAUGUGGAGAGUUAUAUGAAGAUUUUGAAGUGAAGAUUAAAGAACAGGUUUUCACCCAGGGACAGAGGACAGUUAAACAGAAGCCAGAAACCAGUCUAUUGGCAUCUGAAUGACGCUACUGAGAUGCUGCAUACAGAGCAAUAGAGCAAGCACGUCAGAAGCCAUUAAUACUCUCUCCUAGAGAACUGACUCAGUUCUCUUCUAUUUGUUUGAGAAAGAUAAAGCUUUGAAUUUGAGUUCCCAUAUACCUGUGUGCAGCAUGGGUGGAUAUUUAGAGCCCUUCUCAUUUGCCUUCAUCUGCUCUGGUGGUUUCAGAAAGGAGAGCUCAAGAAGUCCCUGUAAUACCUUUGGAUGAAGUAGAUUCUGAAAACAAAAUAGGACAAAAUCAUUAUGAGGAGAAGAGAAAGAACAAAGCCCAUCCGUCACCAGAUAAGAUUUGCUUCGCUUACAUCUGAGAGAAAACUUCAGCUUUCUGGAGGUCUGGAUGGGAGCCAGAAGAACAAAAGCACAUCAGAAUAAAACCCACAACAAAUAUUUAAUUGAAUAUUUUAUACUGGGAUGAGCAGAAAGGAUGGUGACUGUUCAACUGCAAAACUUCAAUUGGAUCAAGUGUAAAGAUGCUGAUUGAAGCACUGACUGAAAGCUUUGCCUGUUCUGAUGACUCUAUAUAAAACCUCUGAAUAAAAACCAUAUAUUUCA